rnacentral:rRNA from 1 species
UGCCAGCCGCCGCGGUAAUACGGAGGGUGCAAGCGUUAAUCGGAAUUACUGGGCGUAAAGCGCGCGUAGGCGGCUAUUUAAGUCGGAUGUGAAAUCUCCGGGCUCAACCUGGGAACUGCAUCCGAUACUGCCCUGCUAGAGUAGUGGAGGGGAGUCUGGAAUUCACGGUGUAGCAGUGAAAUGCGUAGAUAUCGUGAGGAACACUCGUGGCGAAGGCGAGACUCUGGACACUUACUGACGCUCAGGCACGAAGGCCAGGGUAGCGAAAGGGAUUAGAUA